rnacentral:rRNA from 1 species
CCCUUAGAUGUUCUGGGCCGCACGCGCGCUACACUGACGGAGUCAACGAGUUGUCCUGCAUCGGAAGGUGUGGGUAAUCUUUUGAAACUUCGUCGUGCUGGGGAUAGAUCUUUGCAAUUUUCGAUCUUGAACGAGGAAUUCCUAGUAAGCGUGAUUCAUCAGAUCGCGUUGAUUACGUCCCUGCCCUUUGUACACACCGCCCGUCGCUACUACCGAUUGAAUGGUUUAGUGAGGCCUCGGGACUGGCGCGCUCGAGUAGCAAUACACCUGCUCGCCGGGAACUUGGUCAAACUUGAUCAUUUAGAGGAAGUAAAAGUCGUAACA